rnacentral:rRNA from 1 species
AUGGCAGCUCCGAGAGCACUCGUCCUCGCCGUCCUGCUGGCGGUCGCCGUUGCCAACGCCGAGGCGGUGUCCGUCGUCGUCGGCCUGGCCAAGUGCGCUGACUGCACCAUGAAGAACAUCAAGGCCGAGGAAGCCUUCAAGGGUCUUCAGGUGGCGAUCAAGUGCAAGAACAACGCUGGUGACUACGAGAGCAAGGCGGUGGGUGCCCUCGACGGCACCGGUGCCUUCAGCGUGCCCCUCGCCGCCGACCUCCACGGCGCCGACUGCGUUGCACAGCUCCACAGCGCCGCCUCCAACGCGCCAUGCUCGGGCCAGGAGCCAUCCAAGAUCGUACCGGUGUCUGAGGGCACCACCUUCGGUGUCGUCGCCGGCGCCAAGACAGACACGGUGGCAUCGCCAGAGUGCGCGUCCGCAACCCUGUGCGGGCCGAUCAAGAAGCACAUCAUCGAGCACUUCCAUCACAAGAAGCCCGUGCCGCCCAAGCCGGAGCCCAAGCCCCAGCCCCACCCGGACUAUGGCCCCGUGCCCAAGCCCGAACCCAAGCCGAAGCCCCACCCGGACUAUCACCCCGUCCCUCCCACGCCCACUUACGGCGGCGGCGGUGGCGGUGGCGGUGGAUACCACGGACACCACUGA